rnacentral:lncRNA from 1 species
AUUCAGUUUUUCGAUUUUAGGGUAUGUUUGAGGUAUUGCUGAUUUAUAUAAACGAUAGAGCUGAAUUAUCUAAACGAUAGGACUGAGUUAUCUAAACAUUUUCUGAUUUUAGGGUAUGUUUGAGGUAUGGCUGAGUUAUGUAAACGACACGGCUGAGAUAUAUAAACGACACGGCUGAGUAGUGUAAACAUAGCAUAAAUCAAAUACAAAAUACAUGGGCAAGUUAUGUUUUUACAUAGAAAACCAAAAAUACAGGUUUUCUGCACCAUUCCGGUGAUAACUCGUCUAUGUAUCCAAGCUUCAAUGAACUCCUCUGUGUCGUCUCUGUUGAAUCUGUCACUUCUUUUCGUCUCCUUCAUUCUCUUUUUGUUCAAUUUUCUCUUUCACUCAGAUCUGAAGAAAAAAUAGAUUAUCCAAAUAUGGGUAUGAAAUCACAUACAAACUUAAUUAAAUACAUCCCACAAUUUCCAAUUUGGGUGUUUUUGGAAUGUAUUUGUCUUUUCUCCUCGGAAUGCACACUUCUUAUAGCUAGGUUUUCGGAGAUUGGCGGGAAGUAACUCAGCCACAACUGCAUAUAUAAACCAGCCAUAAAAGAAAAGUAACUCAGCCGCAACAUAAAUUAAAACUCAGCCACAAACUCGAAAAACGCAGCAGAGAAGAUGAUUUCGGGAGAUUGCAGCGAAAAAUAUUUCGUAGAAACGAUUGGAGACGACGAUUUCGGGGAA